UGCAGUAGAACGCUGAAGAGAGGAGCUUGCUCCUUCUUGGAUGAGUUGCGAACGGGUGAGUAACGCGUAGGUAACCUGCCUUGUAGCGGGGGAUAACUAUUGGAAACGAUAGCUAAUACCGCAUAACAAUGGAUGACUCAUGUCAUUUAUUUGAAAGGGGCAAUUGCUCCACUACAAGAUGGACCUGCGUUGUAUUAGCUAGUAGGUGAGGUAACGGCUCACCUAGGCGACGAUACAUAGCCGACCUGAGAGGGUGAUCGGCCACACUGGGACUGAGACACGGCCCAGACUCCUACGGGAGGCAGCAGUAGGGAAUCUUCGGCAAUGGGGGCAACCCUGACCGAGCAACGCCGCGUGAGUGAAGAAGGUUUUCGGAUCGUAAAGCUCUGUUGUAAGUCAAGAACGAGUGUGAGAGUGGAAAGUUCACACUGUGACGGUAGCUUACCAGAAAGGGACGGCUAACUACGUGCCAGCAGCCGCGGUAAUACGUAGGUCCCGAGCGUUGUCCGGAUUUAUUGGGCGUAAAGCGAGCGCAGGCGGUUUGAUAAGUCUGAAGUUAAAGGCUGUGGCUCAACCAUAGUUCGCUUUGGAAACUGUCAAACUUGAGUGCAGAAGGGGAGAGUGGAAUUCCAUGUGUAGCGGUGAAAUGCGUAGAUAUAUGGAGGAACACCGGUGGCGAAAGCGGCUCUCUGGUCUGUAACUGACGCUGAGGCUCGAAAGCGUGGGGAGCGAACAGGAUUAGAUACCCUGGUAGUCCACGCCGUAAACGAUGAGUGCUAGGUGUUGGAUCCUUUCCGGGAUUCAGUGCCGCAGCUAACGCAUUAAGCACUCCGCCUGGGGAGUACGACCGCAAGGUUGAAACUCAAAGGAAUUGACGGGGGCCCGCACAAGCGGUGGAGCAUGUGGUUUAAUUCGAAGCAACGCGAAGAACCUUACCAGGUCUUGACAUCCCGAUGCUAUUUCUAGAGAUAGAAAGUUACUUCGGUACAUCGGUGACAGGUGGUGCAUGGUUGUCGUCAGCUCGUGUCGUGAGAUGUUGGGUU
rnacentral:rRNA from 1 species